UACGAGGGGGGCAAGCGUUGUUCGGAAUUACUGGGCGUAAAGGGUGCGUAGGCGGCUUUUUAAGUUUGGUGUGAAAUCUCCCGGCUCAACUGGGAGGGUGCGCCGAAUACUGAGAAGCUAGAGUGUGGGAGAGGAAAGUGGAAUUCCUGGUGUAGCGGUGAAAUGCGUAGAUAUCAGGAGGAACACCGGUGGCGAAGGUGGGUCUCUGGGCAGUGAACUGACGCUGAGGAGCGAAAGCGUGGGGAGCGAACAGG
rnacentral:rRNA from 1 species